GAGUUUGAUCAUGGCUCAGAUUGAACGCUGGCGGCAGGCCUAACACAUGCAAGUCGAGCGGAUGACGGGAGCUUGCUCCUUGAUUCAGCGGCGGACGGGGUGAGUAAUGCCUAGGAAUCUGCCUGGUAGUGGGGGACAACGUUUCGAAAGGAACGCUAAUACCGCAUACGUCCUACGGGAGAAAGCAGGGGACCUUCGGGCCUUGCGCUAUCAGAUGAGCCUAGGUCGGAUUAGCUAGUUGGUGGGGUAAUGGCUCACCAAGGCGACGAUCCGUAACUGGUCUGAGAGGAUGAUCAGUCACACUGGAACUGAGACACGGUCCAGACUCCUACGGGAGGCAGCAGUGGGGAAUAUUGGACAAUGGGCGAAAGCCUGAUCCAGCCAUGCCGCGUGUGUGAGGAAGGUCUUCGGAUUGUAAAGCACUUUAAGUUGGGAGGAAGGGCAGUAAGUUAAUACCUUGCUGUUUGACGUUACGACAGAAUAAGCACCGGCUAACUCUGUGCCAGCAC
rnacentral:rRNA from 1 species